UGAUCGGCGUGGGCGGCGUGCCGGCCGCGCCGCUGGCGCCGGUGAUCGGCGCCGAGGCCGGCUGCGGCGGCGUGUUCGACAGCGCGCCGGGCACCC
rnacentral:tRNA from 1 species